rnacentral:rRNA from 1 species
UGGCGGCGUGCCUAAUACAUGCAAGUCGAGCGAGCUGAAUUCAAAGAUUCCUUCGGGAUGAUUUGUUGGACGCUAGCGGCGGAUGGGUGAGUAACACGUGGGCAAUCUGCCCUAAAGACUGGGAUACCACUUGGAAACAGGUGCUGAAUACCGGAUAACGAACAUGAAUCGCAUGAUUCAAGUUUGAAAGGCGGCGUAAGCUGUCACUUUAGGAUGAGCCCGCGGCGCAUUAGCUAGUUGGUGGGGUAAAGGCCUACCAAGGCAAUGAUGCGUAGCCGAGUUGAGAGACUGAUCGGCCACAUUGGGACUGAGACACGGCCCAAACUCCUACGGGAGGCAGCAGUAGGGAAUCUUCCACAAUGGACGCAAGUCUGAUGGAGCAACGCCGCGUGAGUGAAGAAGGUUUUCGGAUCGUAAAGCUCUGUUGUUGGUGAAGAAGGAUAGAGGCAGUAACUGGUCUUUAUUUGACGGUAAUCAACCAGAAAGUCACGGCUAACUACGUGCCAGCAGCCGCGGUAAUACGUAGGUGGCAAGCGUUGUCCGGAUUUAUUGGGCGUAAAGCGAGCGCAGGCGGAAUGAUAAGUCUGAUGUGAAAGCCCACGGCUCAACCGUGGAACUGCAUCGGAAACUGUCAUUCUUGAGUGCAGAAGAGGAGAGUGGAAUUCCAUGUGUAGCGGUGGAAUGCGUAGAUAUAUGGAAGAACACCAGUGGCGAAGGCGGCUCUCUGGUCUCAA